rnacentral:rRNA from 1 species
AUGCCUCUCGAGCUUUUCCACUUGGUCACUCUGCUCCUUCUCCUCGUGGCUGCUGAUUGGGGUCUUGCGGCCACGGUCGGCAGCGACGAUGGUCGGCAGUUCGCCUACAAUGGCUUUGCCGGCACGAACCUCACUCUCGACGGUGUGGCCAAGGUCACGCCCAACGGCCUCCUCAUGCUGACCAACGGCACCAUCCAGCAGAAAGGGCACGCCUUCCACCCGUCUCCGGUCCGCUUCCGCGCCGCGCGCUCCUUCUCGACGACCUUCGUCUUCGCCAUCUUCGGGCAGUACAUCGACCUGAGCAGCCCUGGCAUGGCCUUCUUCAUCACCACGUCUAGGGAGGUGCUGUCCACGGCGCUCCCAGGCCAGUACAUGGGCCUCCUCAACGCCACGAACAACACCAACCGGGAAGCCCACAUCUUCGCCGUGGAGUUGGACACCCUCCACAACUCCGAGUGCCACGACUUAAACGGCAACCAUGUCGGCGUCGACCUGGAUAGCAUGGUGUCCCGAGAUUCCGCCGAUGCUGGUUACAACGACGAUGCCACGGGCCGGUUCCUCAACCUAAGCCUCAUCAGCCGGAAGGCAAUGCAGGUAUGGGUGGACUACUAUGCCUCUGCCACAGAGAUCACCGUGACCAUGGCUCCCCUUGGUGUAGCCAAGCCCAAGAAGCCCCUACUACGUACCACCGCGGACCUCUCGACCGUGGUGCAGGACAUGGCCUACGUCGGGUUCUCCUCGGCAACAGGAGUCCUUUUCACACGCCACUUCGUCGUUGGCUGGAGCUUCGCGCUGGACGGGCCAGCUCCGAUGUUGAAUAUCUCGUUGUUGCCUGCCUUGCCACCGAUUGGACCCAAGUCACGGUCCAAAGUGUUGCAGAUCGUGCUACCCAUAGCAUCGGCCACAACGGUUUUAGUAGUGGGCAUCAUUGUUUACAUUUUGGUUCGAAGGCGUCUCAGGUACGCGGAGGUCCACGAGGACUGGGAGAAAGCAUUUGGGCCGCACCGAUUCUCUUACAAGGACUUAUUUCAAGCGACCAAGGGGUUCAGCCAGAAGAACCUACUUGGGGCGGGAGGAUUUGGAAGCGUCUACAAGGGUGUGCUCCGCAAGUCUCAUAUGGAGGUCGCCGUGAAGAGGGUGUCACAUGAGUCAAGGCAAGGGAUGAAGGAGUUUAUCAUGGAGGUUGCAAGCAUGCGACGCCUGCGCCACCGCAAUCUGGUGCCGUUGCUCGGUUAUUGCCGACGGAAGGGAGAAUUUCUCUUGGUCUAUGAUUACAUGCCAAAUGGUAGCCUGGAUAAAUAUCUAUACGAUCGUAGCAAGGGUACACUGGAGUGGCCUCAAAGAUUCCACAUCAUCAGGGGAGUGGCUUCGGGAUUAUCAUACCUCCAUGAGGAUUGGGAGCAAAUUGUCAUCCACCGGGAUGUCAAAGCAAGUAACGUACUCUUGGAUGGCGAGAUGAAUGGGAGGUUAGGGGAUUUUGGCCUAGCUAGGCUUUAUGAUCAUGGGUCGGAUGCACAAACCACACAUGUAGUUGGUACUAUGGGUUACCUAGCUCCUGAACUAGGACACACCGGCAAGGCAACCCCAUCUACCGAUGUGUUUGCCUUCGGGGCAUUCCUUCUAGAGGUCGCAUGUGGGCGGAGGCCGGUUGAGCAAGAUGAGAGAAAUAACCAAGUAGUAGUGCUCAUGGAUUGGGUUGUCGACCAUUGGCAUAAGGGUUGCAUCACUAAGGCGGCAGACAUUAGGAUGCCAAAUAUGUUUAGUCUUGACCAGGUGUCUCUAGUGCUAAAACUCGGGCUUCUGUGCUCCCACCCACUACCAAAUUCAAGGCCAACCAUGCGACAAGUCUUGCAGUACCUCGAUGGCGAUGUGCUCCUCCCAGACUUGUCGGCAACAUAUCUAAGAUCAACCAAGCUGGAGUAG